UUUGUGAGAGUAGCCAAUUAUGCAUUAAUGGUAUUACAUCAAGCUUAUGAAUUCCAACAACUUUUCAUGCACUCAAUCUUUUGGAUGGCCACUGAUAGUUAUUUGAAGCCAUCUCCUUAAGCAAAUCAUAGGCCCCAUCAAUGGAUUUACUCAUAAGUGCUUCUCCAGCUGUAGCAUCAACGAUGGUUUUAAUUGGUCCCAGCAAACCAUUAUAGA
rnacentral:lncRNA from 1 species